UACGGGGGGGGGCAAGCGUUGUUCGGAAUUACUGGGCGUAAAGGGCUCGUAGGUGGCCAACUAAGUCAGACGUGAAAUCCCUCGGCUUAACCGGGGAACUGCGUCUGAUACUGGAUGGCUUGAGUUUGGGAGAGGGACGCGGAAUUCCAGGUGUAGCGGUGAAAUGCGUAGAUAUCAGGAGGAACACCGGUGGUGUAGACGGCUCUCUGGACCGUAACUGACGCUGAGACACGAAAGCGUGGGUAGCAAACAGG
rnacentral:rRNA from 1 species